rnacentral:rRNA from 1 species
AAUAGAUACCCUGGUAGUCCAUGCCGUAAACGUUGGGCGCUAGAUGUGGGGACCAUUCCACGGUUUCCGUGUCGCAGCUAACGCAUUAAGCGCCCCGCCUGGGGAGUACGGCCGCAAGGCUAAAAACUCAAAGGAAUUGACGGGGGCCCGCACAAGCGGCGGAGCAUGCGGAUUAAUUCGAUGCAACGCGAAGAACCUUAUCAAGGCUUGACAUAUACGAGAACGCUCUAGAAAUAGAGAACUCUUUGGACACUCGUAAUACAGGUGGUGCAUGGUUGUCGUCAGCUCGUGUCGUGAGAUGUUGGGUUAAGUCCCGCAACGAGCGCAACCCUCGUUCUAUGUUGCCAGCGGUUCGGUCCGGGAACUCAUAGGAGACUGCCGGGGUCAACUCGGAGGAAGGUGGGGAUGACGUCAAAUCAUCAUGCCCCUUAUGUCUUGGGCUUCACGCAUGCUACAAUGGCCGGUACAAAGGGCUGCAAGUACCGUAAGGUGGAGCGAAUCCCAAAAAGCCGGUCUCAGUUCGGA